GUCGCCGCCGCCGCCGCCGUCGCAACGCCUCCUGCGCUAGCCGGCGGCGGUAGUGUCCUCGAACACGGCAUGCACGUAUCGUGCUGCGAAAGUUUUACGAGUCUCGCGGUGCGCCAAACGAGAAACGUGUUCGUGUGCCGACGCCGACGUCGGCGUCGCCGUCGAGACGUGUGAGAAAACGGGACAACGACGACUGGCGCGUACCUCCCCGAAAAGAAACAAUCCGCUCCCUCCUAGGCUCGACUUACGCACCGCAGCGCGUGUGUGUGGGAAAACAGAUCGUACAAAUCAACCGCCUUCUAACAAGCCACAUUAACCUCAAGUGAUUUCUAUUUUCUUACAAAACGCGAAAGAAAUAUGUAAUUAGUAUGUUUAUAUCGAUUUAAAGAAGGAACACACAAAAAAAAAGGAUAUCCCAAGAGCUUAGGUUCAGAAGAAGACAAAAGUUUAAGAGCUAUAUUAGCUAAUAAGUGUACAAAGUAUAUCUAAUUAAAGGAGGAAGACGAGAAACAGAUAAAAACAAACAAAUAAAUAAACAAGUCCGCCAGUGCCAAAUUGAGAAAGAAAGCAAAGUGAAAGUGAUCGUUGUAACAGAGAGAAAGAGAGAGAGAGAAAGA